UACAGAGGUCCCAAGCGUUGUUCGGAUUCACUGGGCGUAAAGGGUGCGUAGGUGGUCGGGUAAGUCUGAUGUGAAAUCUCCGAGCUUAACUCGGAAAUGGCAUUGGAAACUACCUUGCUCGAGGGUUGGAGGGGGGACUGGAAUACUUGGUGUAGCAGUGGAAUGCGUAGAUAUCAAGUGGAACACCAGUGGCGAAGGCGAGUCCCUGGACAACUCCUGACACUGAGGCACGAAAGCUAGGGGAGCAAACAGG
rnacentral:rRNA from 1 species